CCCCUUCGACGAGUCGAGUUGUUUGGGAAUGCAGCUCUAAAUGGGAGGUAAAUUUCUUCUAAAGCUAAAUACUGGCCAGAGACCGAUAGCGCACAAGUAGAGUGAUCGAAAGAUGAAAAGCACUUUGGAAAGAGAGUCAAACAGCACGUGAAAUUGUUGAAAGGGAAGCGCUUGCAGCCAGACUUGCUUGUAGUUGCUCAUCCGGGCUUUUGCCCGGUGCACUCUUCUGCGAGCAGGCCAGCAUCAGUUUGGGCGGUUGGAUAAAGGCCUCUGUCACGUACCUUCUCUCGGGAAGGCCUUAUAGGGGAGGCGUCAUGCAACCAGCCUGGACUGAGGUCCGCGCAUCUGCUAGGAUGCUGGCGUAAUGGCUGUAAGCGGCCCGUCUUGAAACACGGACCAAGGAGUCUAACAUCUAUGCGAGUGUUUGGGUGUCAAGCCCGAGCGCGCAAUGAAAGUGAACGGAGGUGGGAUCCCGCAAGGGUGCACCAUCGACCGAUCCUGAAGUCUUCGGAUGGAUUUGAGUAAGAGCAUGGCUGUUGGGACCCGAAAGAUGGUGAACUAUGCUUGAAUAGGGUGAAGCCAGAGGAAACUCUGGUGGAGGCUCGCAGCGGUUCUGACGUGCAAAUCGAUCGUCAAAUUUGGGCAUAGGGGCGAAA
rnacentral:rRNA from 1 species